GUAGGUGGCAAGCGUUGUCCGGAAUUAUUGGGCGUAAAGCGCGCGCAGGCGGUUCUUUAAGUCUGAUGUGAAAGCCCACGGCUCAACCGUGGAGGGUCAUUGGAAACUGGAGAACUUGAGUACAGAAGAGGAAAGCGGAAUUCCACGUGUAGCGGUGAAAUGCGUAGAGAUGUGGAGGAACACCAGUGGCGAAGGCGGCUUUCUGGUCUGUAACUGACGCUGAGGCGCGAAAGCGUGAGGAGCAAACAGGAUUAGAUACCCUGGUAGUCCACGCCGUAAACGAUGAGUGCUAAGUGUUAGGGGGUUUCCGCCCCUUAGUGCUGCAGCUAACGCAUUAAGCACUCCGCCCUGGGAGUACGGCCGCAAGGCUG
rnacentral:rRNA from 1 species